GCGCGAGGUGCCCGGGCUCCACAGAGAGCAGGAGGCUUCCAUCCACCCUUUCCAUCGCAACGCGGGAGCCCCCUCCUCAGAACCUACAUAAGGCACCGAAGCGCAGCCCAGUACGCGCGGGGACCCAUCUGGCCCAGCCCCAGGAAAGCAGCCACCGAGGGCAGACGCGCGCCUUACCUGCUACCAAGAGAUCAGCUGUCUAAACAGCAGCUUUUUUGAUUGUUGGGCUUCCUGAAAGAAACCUUGCUGACAGCUUCUCACUGACCUGCAGGACGGAACCGUACCUGAGAGGGGAUGGGGGCUCUCUCACAAAAGAAUAUUUGGGGCAGAACCCUGGAACUGGCCACCAGGGACAUCCCAAAUAUCCCCUCCUCCUCAGGGCUCACCCCGACAUCCUCAGCCAAAUGAAGGCUCUGAACCCAGCCAUCAGCUCGCAAGGCACAACUCACUUUGCAGGCUAAUCAAAAUGCUUUCUGAAGAAAAGAAAACUAAUUAUCCCACGGCUCUAUUUUUUGUUGUCGUUCUGUUUGAAAUAACUAUGAAGUCUUCACUCUGCCUAACACUAGGCCCCAACCCGCUGUUUCUUUCCACUUUUCAUCUUGCAAAACCAGUGCCUCCAACCUCUCUGGGGCUCACACAUCCCAUCAAUUUAUCAGGGACACAGUAGCAUGUUUAACCCUUUAGCCCUAGGCAGAAGUUCAUCCAGGGGAGUGGGAAAGUAGAGGCUGCUAUUCUGUACUGCUUUUAUUGGGGGGUGCUGGCAGUGGUUAGUUUGAAAAACGUUUGCUGUACGUUGCAUCAGAGGUCACAUUCAUGGGACAAGCUUUGAUUAACAAAUAAUAUAAGAAUUCCCUCUUUUCUUCUCUUACUUCCUACCUGCCUUUAUUUAUUUAUUUUUGCAUUCACAAAACUAAAGAGAAAGUCACUCCACAGAACACGAAUGGAAUAAAAGGCCAACCAUUCUACCUUUCCAAUCCUCACUCUCCCUUUCCCAUUCUUUACUGUUGCGUCAAGCAAUCUGCUGUACGGACGGGUUCGCACUGCUUUCCUUUAUUUUUUUUUCUCUUGCUGGCAUUAGAAAAGCCUGUAAAUAACCCAAGAAGAGGAGAGAAUUUUUUCCUUCAGCUCAUUUUCAUAAGAAACAUGAUACAUAAUACAUGGCACUUUAAUAAGACUUUAUCUGAACGGUUUAAUGAAAAACAA
rnacentral:lncRNA from 1 species